rnacentral:rRNA from 1 species
UACAGAGGGUGCGAGCGUUAAUCGGAAUUACUGGGCGUAAAGCGUGCGUAGACGGUUAUUUAAGUCGGGUGUGAAAGCCCCGGGCUCAACCUGGGAAUUGCAUUCGAGACUGAAUAGCUAGGGUACGGUAGAGGGAAGUGGAAUUUCCGGUGUAGCGGUGAAAUGCGUAGAUAUCGGAAGGAACAUCAGUGGCGAAGGCGGGCCUCUGGACAGUUCCUGACGCUGAGGCACGAAGGCCAGGGGAGCAAACGGG